rnacentral:rRNA from 1 species
UACGAAGGGGGCUAGCGUUGUUCGGAAUUACUGGGCGUAAAGCGCACGUAGGCGGACUACUAAGUCAGGGGUGAAAUCCCGGGGCUCAACCCCGGAACUGCCUUUGAUACUGGUAGUCUCGAGUCCGGAAGAGGUGAGUGGAAUUCCGAGUGUAGAGGUGAAAUUCGUAGAUAUUCGGAGGAACACCAGUGGCGAAGGCGGCUCACUGGUCCGGUACUGACGCUGAGGUGCGAAAGCGUGGGGAGCAAACGGG